UACGGAGGGGGCAAGCGUUGUUCGGAAUUACUGGGCGUAAAGGGCGCGCAGGCGGCUGCUCAAGUCAGGCGUGAAAGGCCUGGGCUCAACCCGGGAAUUGCGCUUGAGACUGGGCUGGCUUGAGUGCGGGAGAGGAUGGUGGAAUUCCCAGUGUAGCGGUGAAAUGCGUAGAUAUUUGGGGAGGAACACCAGUGGCGAAGGCGGCUCACUGGACCGGAACUGACGCUGAGGCGCGAAAGCGUGGGGAGCAAACGGG
rnacentral:rRNA from 1 species